AUUGAACGCUGGCGGCAGGCCUAACACAUGCAAGUCGAGCGCGAAAGCCUUCGGGUGAGUAGAGCGGCGGACGGGUGAGUAACGCGUGGGAAUCUACCUGGUAGAGGGGGACAACUCGGG
rnacentral:rRNA from 1 species